rnacentral:misc_RNA from 1 species
CAUGUAUAUAUGCGUCUCCUCCUGUCUGCUACUCCUCCCGGACUGCCAGGGCAUCGCUUGUUGCCUCUCUCGCAUUCCUUUUCCCUUCUUUGCUUUCUUUAUUUUAGACCUCUAGAGAUAUCACACAGCGAUGGACAAGUAUGAAAUUCUCGCUCAAAUCGGAGAUGGCACGUUCGGCUCCGUCGCAAAGGCCGUGAGCAAGAAAACCGGCCAGCUUGUAGCCAUCAAGAAGAUGAAGCAGAAAUUCUACACGUGGGAGGAGUGCGUCAAGCUUCCCGAGGUGGACGUUGUGCGGCGCAUUCACGGCCACCCCAACGUGGUGAAGCUGCGUGAGGUAAUUCGUGAGAACAACGAGCUGUUUUUCGUCUUCGAGUACAUGGACGGCGAUUUGCUCGGCGUCAUCAAAAAGGCCAAGCAGCAGGGCGGGCCGCCAGCUAGUACACCGUCUGCUGCACCGUUGAUUCCGUACCCUCUUGUAAAGAACUACAUGCGCCAAAUGCUGCAGGCCCUCGUGUACAUCCACAAGCGCGGCUACUUCCACCGAGACAUGAAGCCAGAAAACCUUCUCAUUCGGAAGGAGGCGAGCGGCGACGAGGUGCUGAAACUGGCAGACUUCGGACUCGUCAAGGAGAUUUGUGCUCGCCCCCCGUUCACCGACUACGUGUCGACGCGGUGGUACCGCGCACCAGAGCUGCUCUUGCAGGAUCGCUUCUACGGCGCUGCGGUGGAUGUGUGGGCUGCCGGGUGCAUUAUGGCGGAACUCAUCACCAUGCGGCCACUUUUUCCAGGCACAAACGAGGUCGAUCAGCUCUUCAAGAUAAUGUCAGUGCUUGGGUCCCCCACUGAGGAGGUGUGGGCCGGUGGACUUCGCUUGGCCAAAAAAAUCCGCUACACCUUUCCUAAAGUAGCCGGCUCCGGCCUUGCUCAAGCGCUGCCAUCGCACAUCCCGUUGCCGGCGCUGGACUUGCUGCGCCAGAUGCUUGUCUACGACCCGAAAGUAAGACUGACGGCGGAGCAAUGCCUGCAGCACCCAUUCUUCAACGUCGGCAUUGACGAGUGCAACGCACCAUCUGCUGCCGCGCUGGACCAGCUGGCGCUCAUGGCAAAGCGGAUGCUGCCAGGGUCGAAAACAGCGCCGCCGGCGCUGAAGAGCCCCACCGCGGGCCAGGUGGCGGCGCUGAAGGCGGCUAGGGCCUCCACCGACGCAUCACUCUCGGACACCUCCUCACGCAAGUUCUACCUGCUCGGCACCCUCAAGGACCCCGCCCCAUCGUUGCCAAAGCUCCCGGUCGCGUUGUCCACCUCGCCACCGUCCCUUGACGCGCCGCCGAACGCUUCGUCACCUCUGCGUGGGCGCGGGGCCCUCUCACCAGCGGGGAUGCCAGUGCUCGCCAACGGCCACCAGUGCCCCAGCCUGACAACGACGGUGGCCAAGGGAAAGCGCCGCUCGCAGGAAACAGCAGACACCUCGCUUGCGAAAAAGCUAGCAGGCUUGAAAAACGUUCCGACAGGAAAAGGGAAGCUACCGGUGUCUUACGCACUGCCUGCUGCCAGCGCCGUGCACUCACCUAGAGCAGCACCCAACCUGAAGGUCUCCGCAUCCGUGGCGAGGCCAUACCCCCUGGCGCCCACCGCCAACAACCGCGACGCCGUGGCGUCCCCGAGGCACCACAACCCGUACAAGGAGGCCGAGACUACGUCUCCGACGGCGGCGUCCGCGGCGGCGAAGGUAGAGAUUGACCUGGACGAGCUCAUGGAGGAGUUUGCGUCGGAGAUGACCGCCAUGGGGGUGCUGGCGCAGCGACACGACUCGGGGGCCUCGGCCGAAUCGAAAAGCGAAAGCUACGUUUCCCAGCCAGCGCUUCCGCCCGAUCCUGUGGCGACGCUGCUGAACAACAGCCGGUAUAGAAGGAAAUCCACCACAAGCGCCGACCCGCUGUUGAAGGGGAACAACUCGCCUCGCGCUACACACCAGCUGGAUACAAGGAAAGUGGACGAUGUUGCCGCGAAGAGCGACCUUCCUCGCAUAGACCACUCGGCCCCGAAAGGGAUGUCGCCAUCGCUGAAGGCGCUUCUAGCGAAGCACAAGACGAGCGGUCUGGCAUUUCCGUAGCCGAUCCAGCUUCCGUUUCUCUUAAUGUUCGUCUUUUCACUUUUUGUUCUGUGGUGUGGUAAGUACUAGUGGUGGGGAAGAGCAAGAGUGAAUGUUAGCGUGGGAUGACCGCCAAUAACAACUACAGUAGAACUGUCGGCUGCAAGUCCUUUCCCACGUUCCACUUGCUCCCUUCUGGCCUCCUCCACGAGUCCAUCUACUCUCCCUUCUCCUUUUCCUCCACGAUUUUUUACUGAUAUCACCGUGUUUAUUAGGCUCUCCUUUUUUCUUCCCUCGCUUUGGUGUUUGGAUCAAGGACCCACAGAAACAAAAUCUUUCCACAUGUAAAUGAAGCUGACGCACCUCUUUCUGCGUUCUUUGUCUCUCUCUCUCUCAUAUUCUCCGUUUCCUUCCUCCUCCACGCUCACUCUCUUUUCUCUCUUUCGUCUCCUCUUUUCUUCGUUAUGUUGCCCAGACUUCGAAUUAUGCUUGGCGCCAUUUAUAUACCAUAUUGCGUAUGCGCGUGUGCGUGGGUGAGCGCCGUUGGUGUGUGUGUUUAUGUGUGUCUUUCCGUAUUGGUGUACGUAUGCCAUUUGCCUCCGACUUCAAUGAACGUUUUUGUCCUUUGCCUUUUCCCCCUUUUUUCCUUUCUUCACGUUAUUGCUACUGCGCGCCUCGUCUUCAUUGCUUUUCCUCGCUCUGUUUCUUCCGUCCUCCGUCUGUGCCUCCUUAUAUGUGUGUGUGUGUGCAUAUUUUCUCUAACUCCUCUUUUUAUUUGCUUGCCCUAUCUUCAUGCCGGCCUCAUAGGCGUACGAACCCGCUAAGAAAG